rnacentral:rRNA from 1 species
ACCCAUGAGCAGGAUGAAGCGAAAGUAAAAUUGCGUGGAGGUCCGAACCCACGAGCGUUGAAAAGCUCGGGGAUGACUUGUGGGUAGCGGUGAAAUUCCAAGCGAGCCCGGAGAUAGCUGGUUCUCCCCGAAAUAGCUUUAGGGCUAGCCUCAAGGUGAGAGAUACGGAGGUAGAGCACUGAAUGUCCUAGGGGGUAUUGCACCUACCGAAGACUAUCAAACUCCGAAU